rnacentral:hammerhead_ribozyme from 1 species
AUUCAGCUGACGAGUCCCAAAUAGGAUGAAACGCGUGUCCUGGAU